UGGCACCGACGGAGACAGCGACGAAGAGGGCGAAGGCAUGCCCGAGAGAGGCUGCGAUGAGGCCAGCGGGGGUGGCGGGACCGUCGCCGGUGAGCUUGUUGUAAGCUAUGCCGGAGCCCUGCCCAGCAAACACAAAAAUCAGUGUCGAGAUAAACUCAGCCAGCGCCGCCUUUACCGCGCCAGGUUGAGUCGCCUCGUCCGUAUUCCCGAUGGCAAUCCUCGAGAUCGGCAUGUUGACGUACCUACUCAUUCCCAGUCACUCAGCCUUCUAUGUCUCACCUCACUCUGGGAA
rnacentral:misc_RNA from 1 species